rnacentral:rRNA from 1 species
GACGAACGCUGGCGGCGUGCUUAACACAUGCAAGUCGAGCGCUGUAGCAAUACAGAGCGGCAGACGGGUGAGUAACGCGUGGGAAUCUUCCCAAUGGUACGGAAUAGCUCAGGGAAACUUGGGGUAAUACCGUAUAAGCCCGAAAGGGGAAAGGAUUUAUCGCCAUUGGAUGAGCCCGCCGUCUGAUUAGCUAGUUGGUGAGGUAAUGGCUCACCAAGGCGACGAUCAGUAGCUGGUCUGAGAGGAUGACCAGCCACACUGGGACUGAGACACGGCCCAGACUCCUACGGGAGGGCAGCAGUGGGGAAGUAUUGGGACAAUGGGCGGAAAGCCUGAUCCAGCCAUGCCGCGUGAGUGACGAAGGUCUUCGG